GAUGAACGCUGGCGGCGUGCCUAAUACAUGCAAGUCGAGCGAACAGAUGAGGAGCUUGCUCCUCUGACGUUAGCGGCGGACGGGUGAGUAACACGUGGAUAACCUACCUAUAAGACUGGGAUAACUUCGGGAAACCGGAGCUAAUACCGGAUAAUAUAUUGAACCGCAUGGUUCAAUAGUGAAAGACGGUUUUGCUGUCACUUAUAGAUGGAUCCGCGCCGCAUUAGCUAGUUGGUAAGGUAACGGCUUACCAAGGCAACGAUGCGUAGCCGACCUGAGAGGGUGAUCGGCCACACUGGAACUGAGACACGGUCCAGACUCCUACGGGAGGCAGCAGUAGGGAAUCUUCCGCAAUGGGCGAAAGCCUGACGGAGCAACGCCGCGUGAGUGAUGAAGGUCUUCGGAUCGUAAAACUCUUUUAUUAGGGAAGAAGGAAUGUGUAAGUAACUAUGCACGUCUUGACGGUACCUAAUCAGAAAGCCACGGCUAACUACGUG
rnacentral:rRNA from 1 species